rnacentral:lncRNA from 1 species
UUUUUGAAGUUUAACGUAGCAAAAUGUUAAUUAAAAAAUAAAAGAAAACAAAUGGUGAUAAAUAAAAGGAAGUAUUGGACACAAUCUACACGUUCUUCUGCUUCACUCUAACACAUGUGUUGUGUCCAUUCCCUUCUUUGUCUUCUUCUUCCCUCCUCCUUCUUUUUCAAAUUUGAUUCGUUCACUUUCAGAUUCUCUCACCAGACACAAAUUCCAUAUUCACUCCGACAGUGGAAACAUUUUAUCUCUUCCUUUUUCUUUCUCACAUUAUGUUCUUCAC